AGAGAGAGAGAGAGAGAGGGUGCGCAGGUUUAGAGGCUGGCUGGCUGGCUAAAUAGAAGCAGGUGAUGAGGGAGCACCUUGACGGGACAAAAUGGUAUCAGAAGUCCACUCGUGGGGUCAAGUAAAAAGGAAAGUUAAAAAAUUUGCCUUUGUUAAUUCUCCAGAGUCCAAGACCCAAUACUGCCCUCAGCUCCAACCGAGAAAACCCACCUGAUAAUGUGGGCAAAAUUGUCAAAUUAAUGUGUCUGGAGAGUUGGACAAUAUAUUUUACCUCCAGAAGACUAAAACUUUACAGUGAUCAAGUUAUCCAGUUCGCUUCCUCUUGUUCUGUACUUGAACAGUGCUUUCCAGGGCCAAAGAUAUUCAGGUUCAGGUCAUAAGCAGUCCUGUGUACUGUUGCAUAUGAAACCCAUCUCACAAGUAAGGUGAUUUGGAUCAUACAAGCACUGUCAAGAUUGAUAUUGCAGCAGCAGAACAUCAAGGAAAUCUCUGUGAAAAACCUUCUGAAGUUGAGGUUUUAGGGUUCAAGAAGAAAAGGGGAUUAGGGAUUUAGGAUUAGGAAGG
rnacentral:misc_RNA from 1 species